rnacentral:rRNA from 1 species
GACGAACGCUGGCGGCGUGCUUAACACAUGCAAGUCGAACGGAAAGGCCCUGCUUUUGUGGGGUGCUCGAGUGGCGAACGGGUGAGUAACACGUGAGUAACCUGCCCUUGACUUUGGGAUAACUUCAGGAAACUGGGGCUAAUACCGGAUAGGAGCUCCUGCUGCAUGGUGGGGGUUGGAAAGUUUCGGCGGUUGGGGAUGGACUCGCGGCUUAUCAGCUUGUUGGUGGGGUAGUGGCUUACCAAGGCUUUGACGGGUAGCCGGCCUGAGAGGGUGACCGGAGGCAUUGGGAAUGGAAAAGGACGCAGGCUACUACGGGCGCCAGCAGCCGGAAGUGGGACCCCGUGGGGGGAGGCGUGGGGCAGACCCGCAGCGUGGGGGGUGGCGGGCAAAGGGUUAGAGGCGACUUGGGGAGGUGACGGACCGGGAGUGGCGGUGGUGGGUGAGAAGGCGCCGGCUAGCUACGUG